AUUUCCCUGUGGUCUUCUCUCUGCAGAGAUGUCUCACUGCACAAGGAAGAAGCAGAUGUCCAGCUCAGCACAGAGCCACAGUGUUUUUCCAAAUUAGCUGCAGAAGAAUCGUGAUGAGUACAUUAGGGUAUGCGGCCUCCACACUAAGCCUGUUAGCAAGAUCAGUUCAGGAAAUAUAGGUAAAGAAAAUACUUAUUUUCUCAAAGGGUCUAGCUGGAAGCUUCGUUGUUUUCUUUCACAGAAAUAAAUGUGAAACUUUGGGCAUAAGCACGGCCGAACAGCUGGCAAGCAAGGGAACACUCUCUGCUUGUCUCUGCUUGCUCUCUGCACUGUUUGCCCACGGAUUAUCCUUUGCAAUUGUUGAUUUUCCUCCCCGCAUCUCACACGCAUCAGACAUUUUCAGACAAGCUAAACGCCGAGGUAAGCACCUCAAUGGGAAGUUCUGCAGCAUCCAAGGGGCAAGGGGGGGAACCCACACGUUAUGAGACCUAUCACCCAAUAUGUUGACUGCAAUUCAGUCACCACCCAGAUGUUGGCGUACAACCCGACAAGCAUCACGCACAGGAGUGAGAAGCAAUGCCAACGUGAGAUACUAAACCAUUUACAGUAAUUGUCAAGACGGAAUUUUCCUCCCCAAAAUAGCAGGCAUGCCUCACCCAGUCCAUGCUGGGUGAUGACACAAGCUGAAAUGGUAAUAGGUAUAAAUAUAACCCAGUAUCACUCCAGUGCGUCAGUGGCAGGACGCAGCGUGUCCCUAAAUAUAUAGUGUGAAUCAAGAUGUAAGAUACAAUGCGAAUCAAGAACCCACGUUAUCUCCCAUUACUUUAAAAUAUCUACUGCCGUGGAAGAUAAGCUCAUUCUGACUUGUGUUUGCUGGAGCCUUAUCUGAGACAGCACCCAGGGGUGCUGCCCUUGAGCUCCCUAUGACGUGCUCAGGUUUUCCACAGGUAGAAGCACACUCAGAGUUAGGAAACGACACCAGUGUGCCGCUGUGCUUAUCUCCCGGCGAGGCUUAUCAGCGCAGGAACAACCUGGUGCUGACCACAACUAGAAAACAUCCGAUUUGGAGUGUGGUCAGCAGGUCCGUGCGCCCAUAAUAUUCAGCCGUCUGCCUCAUCAGGGGACCUGCUGGUGUCACAGACCUAUGCCGCCUUCUUUAGUUCCUAUCUUUUACAUCCAAUCCAAAAAAAUCUUAUUAAUGGCGAAGCUUCUCCUUGUGCCUGGAAACUGGCUUUGAGUCACUGUCUGAACAGUUCUUCAUCUUCUUGGAAAUCUCACUUGAAAACUCCUUUUGACCACCGCGAUACUCUCUAACACCCCUCUCUCCUGUUCCUGCAGCAUGUUGUUUUGUUGUUAUCUCUGAAGCUGCAUUAUUAAAUCAGCAGCUUUCCCCAUUCACUGCAUUCAGCUCCGGAGGAUGAGAAAGCACUGCUCAGGGGAAAAACACCUCUAAUCCAGCAGCUAUGUCCUCAUUAGCUUUGCUGUCCUCCGCAGAAGACACCCCACCCUCAGCCACCACAGCACCCAUGCCAUGUCACCUCCUAGGUGCACCUAUGACCCCAAACACCUAAGGAAUGGGAGUAAAUGUUGCUUUAAGAGAAAGACCUCCAAUAACAGCAAAGUCACUGUUAUUUCACAUUUGGCGUUUAAGAGUUUUUGACACGAGUUGAAUAUUGUGAAUUCAUACAGUGCUUCAAGGGAAAGCUCGGCUCUGAAAUUCAGAGAAAAGCACUACAAAAAAAAAAAAUAAAAAGAUCAUCGGUAACCAUAUUUUCUUGGCAUACCUGAUACUAAGGAAUCACCAUGUCUUUCUAUGCUGGGACUACACAAGAUAGACAAAAACUCCGGGGACUUCUUCUGCAGCAACCUCUCCAAGUCUAAUUAAGGACAAGCUGCUGAGAAAGCACCCAGGCCAAGUGGCUGCCAAGCAUUCAUUUUUGUCCCUUCUCUGGGAUGAGAAGAAUGGAGGAAUAUUAAAGCCAGACAAAAGGAAAAGUCCACCUCCCUGCUCAGGGAGCCAUAAAGCCACUGCAGUAUUUCAAAUGAGAAUCCACUUUAUAAUAAUGGUGCAUAAAACAGCUAAUGUGAUUUACUCCCCAGUGUAAGACAGGCUUGCAUAUAGAUUGGGGUUCCCUGCAGCAAUAAUAGCAGGGGCUAUUAGCUUAAUCCUUUAAGUACUGAGCUCACUGACCACUCUUUUUCACCGCCAACCAUGUGCAAGGACAGCAAGAUUGUUACGAAAGGGGGUUUUACGACUACAGGUCUUCCUCCAGCUUCUAAUACAAAAAUGAUUUAUUAUGCUCAAAAGGAACAUCACAUGUGUCUGCAAAAAGCUAUAUCCCACACUUAAGUUAAUUACCCCAGCUUGCCUAGAAGGCAGAGUCGGUGCAUUUCCUGAGAUCCCUUGGCAAGAACACGCUUUCAUUGCAGCAAGAAGGUUUCUAACCUCAUUGAGGACUGAGUCACGACUGCCGUCUCCUCCUCUGCAUUCCCAUCCAUCAAAAGCACAUAUUGUUUCAAGGAACCCUGGCUCUGGUGCAUUUUGGCUGAAUCCUAAUAAUCAGGUAAUAUAUAACCACAAUAAGUACGCUUUAGUGGUGAGUUUGAAAUGGAAUUCAUACAUAGGGCUGGGGCAGCAAAGAUUAUUUCCACAAAAGGAAAAACGGUUUCGAUUUAUUUAGUUGUAUGCUAAAUAGAAAAGCUCAGCCAAACACAAACUCA